GACCAUCCGCAACGCGGGAUUAUAAGGAAUCCUUAACACAUAUUCCUAAGCAAUUACAAUUAAAAUAAUAAUAUAAUACUUAAAUAAGCUAAGGAGGAAUUCUUAAUUAAGGAUUAAAAUCAGUUGGUCCUUGUUGACGUGGAAUCUCCGUUCAAGCCUGACGUCCUCAAAGGCAAGGUAGCUCUCAUCACCGGAGGCGGAUCCGGAAUCGGUUUCGAGACCUCUUCUCAGUUCGGCAAACAUGGAGCUUCCGUCGCCAUCAUGGGACGCAGGAAACAAGUCCUCGACGCCGCCGUCUCUGAUCUCCGAUCCCUCGGGAUUCAGGCUAUUGGAUUGGAAGGUGACGUUCAAUUGGGCUUUGCGUGUCUAUUCAGUACAUAGGAUCAGUGGAGUAAACAAAGUUCAACUACGAUUAUAAGCACCUCUUUACCCUUUUCCUAUCUUCACUUUCUCUCUUCUCUCUCUCUCCAUCGAAAGAAAACAGAGUUUCACAAUCACAAUGUGCGACUCAGAUUAUCUCUCCCGCUGUUCCUCAUACGAGGCAGACGUUGAUUCAGACUCCGACGUCUCGAGCACCACCUGUUCCAACUGAGCGAUGAGAUGAUGUAAAGCCUUUUGCUCCUAUGGUGGUCACUGGGACUUUAGAUGAUGAUGGUUUGGGCCCUGUUUCUUGGUGGGAAGGUUCUACUUCUAAUGAGAAUCAUGAAGAUGAUGACCCAUCAGGUUCUUAAACGUACGCUUGAGGACUCAUCAGGUUCUUAAACAUAUUGCUAGGAGUCCGGUUGCUGAUAUGCGUUUUCAUGACUCUACGAGUCUUGUAACUAACGGGUACUGGGCACCAGAGUAUGUUAACAACGGGGAUGAGCUGACACUGAAAUAUGAUAUUUAUAGCUUUGGAAUUGUGAUGUUGGAGCUUAUCACUGGAUGCAAACCUAUUGAGGACUCAUCAUUGGGUCCACAACGUACGCUUGAGCACUCAUCAGGUUCUUAAACUAGUAUGUUUUUCUUAACAUAGGAAGUUGGAAUUAGACUCCUUUCCCAUGAUUCUAGAAUUAGAUUCCUUAAUUUUGAUGUUAUCUGUGUAUGAAGAGAAAGACAAAAAAAAUAUUGAAUAUGGAAAAAUAUUUUUCUUAUA